CAGCGCCACGAGUGGCAAUCGCGAUUAUUGGGCCUAAAGCGUCCGUAGCCGGUUCAGUAAAUCCUUUGUGAAAUCGCCAGGCUUAACCUGGCGGCGUGCAGGGGACACUGCUGAACUCGAGACCGGGAGGAGUUAGAAGUAUUUCUGGGGGAGCGGUAAAAUGCUAUAAUCCCAGAAGGACUACCUAUGGCGAAGGCAUCUAACUAGAACGGAUCUGACGGUGAGGGACGAAAGCCAGGGGAGCGAACCGGAUUAGAUACCCGAGUAGUCC
rnacentral:rRNA from 1 species